CGCAGACAAAAUGACAAGAAAAACUAAAUUUACGGCGUGCGAGGUGGAGGUGCUGGUGGCGGAGGUGGAGGAGCGACAGCGUGUUUUGUUUGGCAGCCUGUCCAGUGGCGUCAGUGCAAAACAAAAACGCUUGGAGUGGGAGAAAGUUUGCGAGAGGGUGAAUGCGGUGGGUUCCGAGACACGCACCCCCGUGAAGAUUAAAAAAAAGUGGUCGGACCUCAAGGUGGAGGUCAAGCGGCGUACAGCUGCCCUCCGGAGGAGUACCGGCCAGACAGGUGGGGGUCCGGGGGAGGAGACCCUCACACCAUUUGAGCAGCGGGUGGUGGCGAUUAUUAUUAUAGGGUAAGUGGCGUGUCACACAAAUGUCCACAUGCUUUGUCAUCCCACUGAGCAAAAGACGUAUAUUAGACGUCUAGUCUAAGUUUAUACUUCAUUUCAACGUCGGGAUUCAGUCUAUUUUUAGACAUGAUUUAUACUUCGCCCUUAACUUCAUUUUUCGAUAACUUUUUAUGCAAUAAACAACUGUAAUGUGCAUAACUGACCUCUAAAUACUGGAUUACAUUACCUAUGAUACCGUGGAGAGAGAUGUAAAUGCAACAGAUACACAGAAGCAGGAAUUGAAAUGAACCAAUAUUUUUAUUGUGUCACAGAAAUCAAUGUGUCGGCCGUGUCGCCGGCUUGCGGAACCCCGGCCCGCGGCAGCCCGUCCGCCGGCUCGGAGUCGUCGGCCAGGACCAGCGGCAUUCGGGCCACCCCGGCCCCAGCACCAGCACCAGCAUCAGCAUCAGCGCGCCGACAAGCGGCGGAGCAUCCACCAGCCGUGGCGCUUCCGCUGGACCACCCGGACGCAGUGGAAGGGUCCUCGCGGAGGAGGUCCUGCAAUCGCAGGAAGAAAUCAUCAGGGGGAUCGCGGGGAUCAACGAGCGGCUGGACCGGCUCGUAAAUGUCCUCGAGCGUCUGGUGGAGAAAAUAAAUUAAUUUGGCUCAUUGAACUGUGUAUUCACUUCUUACCCAUUCACAC